GCGAGAGUGGCGGAACUGGCAGACGCACUAGACUUAGGAUCUAGCGCCUUUGGCGUGUGGGUUCAACUCCCACCUCUCGCACCA
rnacentral:tRNA from 1 species